CGCGGGAUUGGGGCGGGGGCACGGCGGGACGGGGUGCAGCAGGCGCAAAACCUUUACAAUGCACGCAAGUGUGAUAAGGGGACCCCAAGUGCUCAUGUUUACAUGGGCUUUUGCCAAGCCUAAAAAUCUUGGCGAAUAAGUGGUGGGCAAGACUGGUGCCAGCCGCCGCGGUAACACCAGCGCCACGAGGGGGGAUCAUUUUUAUUGGGCCUAAAGCGUCCGUACCCGGUUUAGUAAAUCUUUUGUGAAAUCGCCAGGCUUAACUUGGCGGCGUGCAGAAGACACUGCUAAACUUGGAACCAGGAGGAGUCAGAAUUAUUCUGGGGGGAGCGGUAAAAUGCUAUAAUCCCUAGAGGAAUACCUGUGGCGAAGGCGUCUGACUAGAAUGGAUUCGACGGUGAGGGACGAAAGCCAGGGGAUCAAAUCGGAUUAGAUACCCGAGUAGUCCUGGCUGUAAACGCUGCGAGCUAGGUGUUGUAUAUGCUACUUGAAUAUGCAGUAUCGGAACGAAGGUGUUAAGCUCGCCGCCUGGGAAGUACGGUCGCAAGACUGAAACUUAAAGGAAUUGGCGGGGGAGCACCACAAGGGGUGCGGCGUGCGGUUUAAUGUAAUUCAACACAGAGAACCUCACCAGGGGCGACGGCAGAAUGAAAGUCAGUGUAAAGGGCUUACUUGACAAUCCGAGAGGUGGUGCAUGGCCGCCGUCAGCUCGUGCUGUAAGGUGUCCUCUUAAGUGAGGUAACGAGCGAGACCUGUAUCCACAAUUGCUAGCAAGUCCUUCAGGACGAUUGAGCACAUUGUGGAGACUGCCUUGGAAACAAGGAGGAAGGUGCAGGCUCCGGUAGGUCUGUAUGCCCCGAAUCCUCUGGGGUACACGCGCGCAACAAUGGUAGAGACAAUGGGAUACAACUCCGAAAGGAGAAGUUAAUCCUCUAAACUCUAUCCAAGUCCGGAUUGAGGAUUGCAACCCAUCCUCAUGACGAUGGAAUCCCUAGUAAUCGCGAGUCAUCAGCUUGCGGUGAAUAUGUCCCUGCUCCUUGCACGAAUUCGCCGAAUCACUAGU
rnacentral:rRNA from 1 species